rnacentral:pre_miRNA from 1 species
UGGGGGAGCACCGGAUCCUGGGCUGUGUCCCCCGUGCCCUAGGCUCUGGGGCCUGCACUGCUGGAAUCGCGCUCCCGGGGCGCACAGCCCCCU